UGGGGAAUAUUGCACAAUGGGGGAAACCCUGAUGCAGCGACGCCGCGUGAACGAAGAAGGUAUUCGUAUCGUAAAGUUCUGUCCUAUGGGAAGAUAAUGACAGUACCAUAGAAGAAAGCUCCGGCUAAAUACGUGCCAGCAGCCGCGGUAAUACGUAUGGAGCGAGCGUUGUCCGGAAUUAUUGGGCGUAAAGGGUACGCAGGCGGUUUAAUAAGUCGAAUGUUAAAGAUCGGGGCUCAACCCCGCAAAGCAUUGGAAACUGAUAAACUUGAGUAGUGGAGAGGAAAGUGGAAUCCCUAGUGUAGUGGUGAAAUACGUAGAUAUUAGGAGGAAUACCAGUAGCGAAGGCGACUUUCUGGACACAAACUGACGCUGAGGUACGAAAGCGUGGGGAGCAAACAGG
rnacentral:rRNA from 1 species